UACAGAGGGUGCGAGCGUUGUCCGGAAUCACUGGGCGUAAAGGGCGCGUAGGUGGUGGCUUAAGCGUGCGGUGAAAGCUCGGGGCUCAACCCCGAGUCGGCCGUGCGAACUGGGCUCACUGGAGCAUAGUAGAGGCAGGUGGAAUUCCGGGUGUAGCGGUGGAAUGCGUAGAGAUCCGGAAGAACACCGGUGGCGAAGGCGGCCUGCUGGGCUAUGGCUGACACUGAGGCGCGACAGCGUGGGGAGCGAACAGG
rnacentral:rRNA from 1 species